GAUAACCAAGGAUAAUUCUAGGGUCGAGAGUAGGAUUAACUAAUCUAACUUCUCCACCACCAGGUGCCCAAGUAUCAUAAGCUCCUCCUCCAAACAUCCAGUUAGCUGUGAAGAAUAAAGCACCAACACCUAAAACGAUUAAGUGAUAACCAAGGAUAUUGGUCAUUUGGUUUUUAUCUCUCCA
rnacentral:antisense_RNA from 10 species